rnacentral:rRNA from 1 species
CAGUCGCCACGGUAAUACGAAGGGGGCUAGCGUUGCUCGGAAUGACUGGGCGUAAAGGGCGCGUAGGCGGUUCGUACAGUUGGAUGUGAAAUUCCUGGGCUUAACCUGGGGGCUGCAUUCAAUACGUGCGGGCUUGAGUGUGGAAGAGGGUUGUGGAAUUCCCAGUGUAGAGGUGAAAUUCGUAGAUAUUGGGAAGAACACCGGUGGCGAAGGCGGCAACCUGGUCCAUAACUGACGCUGAGGCGCGGAAGCGUGGGGAGCAAACAGGAUUAGAUACCCGCGUAGUCCCUGUCUCUUAUAC